rnacentral:SRP_RNA from 1 species
GCCAGGUGUGGUGGUGCACACCUGUAAUCCCAGCUACUCAGGAGGCUGAGGUGGGAGAAUCGCUUGAACCCAGGAGCUGGAGGUUGCAGUGAGCCAAGAUCACAUCAUUGCAUUCCAGCCUGGGCUAUAGUGCGAGACUCCAUCUCAA